UUGACAUGUUGGAAAAGAAGGAAGAGCCAGAAAUGCAUGAUUUGCCUGCAGGGAAACAGCCCAGGGAAAAUGGAAACUCAGCCCAGGUUGAAAGCACCUUGAAGAGAAAGGUGCUGCCACCGUGGUUUUGUUUUUAUCUCAGCAAUACAAUUGAACAAAUACUUUAGAGAGAGAGUGAAAGAUCCCUCCAGUGAUGACUUCACGCAUAAUGAGUUAAAACUAUUAAUAGUAACAACACUAAGAGAUCAAUAGUUGUUCAAACCUAAAAGUAUAAUUGUUACCCAGCUGAGGGAGAGGUUGGAAGGUACCCCACGGUUUGACAGGCUGACACGAAAAACACAUUGAUGUAUCCAAGCUGGGCAAAUGUUUCAGGAAAUAUUUCCUCCACAGAGUUAUGCUAAAAGUGUUGCUGCCAUUAGACUUUCAUCACACGCCCGCUGCUCGUGAGUUAAACGGACAGGACUGGAAAUGUGAGCUGUCAAUCUGGGUGCAACAAUACAUUUAGCUCGAGCACAUCAUCCACGUUGAAAGAAAACACUUGUCAAAGUUACGAACAAGCGUCUCCUGGUACUUGUUGACGUGCAAUUGCAUCCAGCCACGUGCCCCAGGACUGCUCUGUCUCGUUAUCCAGUUGUCAAGGAUGAUCAGGAUAUCCUGCCCAUGGAUUUCUUUGAUUCACAUGUGGCAAACCUUGAGCUGAGCUUUGUCUCUCUGGAGAUGUCUCAUGGAGGAGCAUUGUGGAAUCAUCAUUCCUCAUCAGACUCCAGACAAUGUAAAAAUGCAUCCUGUACAUGUGCUGCAUCGCACACACGGUGAUUUGGGAGCAGAAAACUGUAAAAUCUGAGUUACAACACAAAGAUCUGUCUAAGAACGUGGAUCCAUGACUGCAGAGAGAGGUGUUGGGUGAAUGUAUGGUUUUUGAGAUUAAACAGGAUUAAACAUUAAUUAAACAGAUUCAAAGGACAACAAGGAUCAAACUUUUUUCUUGCUUUUGUCGUUUUCUUGGUAACAUCUAGGGAAAUUGAUUAUUUUUUUUUUUUAAUGGAAAGUAAUGGAAGUGGUUUCACCUAACCCUGCUUCAUGCCAUUGUUUCAGGGCAAGAUGCAGUUCUAAAAACAUACUUUUUAGUAUUUUUGUUAAUUCUUCUUAUUUACUAAUAAACACACUAAAACAUAAAAGUAUAAGAGGACACUAUCAAGUUAUAUGGGAGAAAAAAUAAUUAGUGUUUUAUUCUGAGUCAGUUUUUGUUGAAUUGGGAAUCCUUGGGUUUGAGGGUUCACAUCCCAAAUCCCUGCUUGGUGCUGCAGAAAGGUUCUGCGAAACCAAGGAGUGAAACUCUGGGGUAAAAACACGAUGAGGGGAUCCGCGUUUGUUGCAAAACUUGUUACAAGAGUUCCUAUUUUCUUUUCUGUAGUAGGAACCAGUCUGAGUAAUUAACUUUUCUUUGCUGCUGAUGUCUUUGGUGUAUUACCAGCCUGACAUCUGUGCUGGGCUGGAGGGAUUUUGUAGGAAAAAGAGAUUUCACUGGUGGCUUCUGGAGACUCUGUGCCCCUGCUUGGCUUUGUAGAGCAUCUGCCAUAAUUCACUCCAGGAUGCCUAAACUGUAUUAAUAAAAUAAUAAAUAUUUUCUUCAACUAAA